UCGAGGAUAUUUAGCAAUGGGCGAAAGCCUGACUAUGUGACGCCGCGUGAGGGAUGAAGGAUUUCGGUUCGUAAACCUCUUUCAAUGGGGAAGAAUACCUGCAUUAAUCGUGCAGCUUGACGGUACCCAGAGAAGAAGCCACGGCCAACUCCGUGCCAGCAGCCGCGGUAAUACGGGGGUGGCAAGCGUUACUCGGAUUUAUUGGGUGUAAAGGACAGGUAGGCAGCUAUACAAGUUGGAGGUGAAAUCCUAGGGCUUAACCCUAGAACUGCCUUCAAAACUGUAUAGCUUGAGGCUAGAAGAGGAGAACGGAAUUCCCGGUGUAAGGGUGAAAUCUGUAGAUAUCGGGAGGAACACCCGUGGCGAAAGCGGUUCUCUGGUCUAGUUCUGACGCUAAACUGUGAAAGCUAGGGGAGCAAACAGG
rnacentral:rRNA from 1 species